rnacentral:hammerhead_ribozyme from 1 species
GUACAGCUGAAGAGUCCCAAACUAGGACGAAACAGUUGUUCAGUAC